rnacentral:rRNA from 1 species
GAUGAACGCUGGCGGCGUGCUUAACACAUGCAAGUCGAGCGAAGCGCUUAAGUUUGAUUCUUCGGAUGAGGACUUUUGUGACUGAGCGGCGGACGGGUGAGUAACGCGUGGGUAACCUGCCUCAUACAGGGGGAUAACAGUUAGAAAUGGCUGCUAAUCCCGCAUAAGACCACAGUACUGCAUGGUACAGUGGUAAAAACUCCAGUGGUAUGAGAUGGACCCGCGUCUGAUUAGGUAGUUGGUGAGGUAACGGCCCACCAAGCCGACGAUCAGUAGCCGGCCUGAGAGGGUGACCGGCCACAUUGGGACGGAGACACGGCCCAGACUCCUACGGGAGGCAGCAGUGGGGAAUAUUGCACAAUGGGCGAAAGCCUGAUGCAGCGACGCCGCGUGAAGGAUGAAGUAUUUCGGUAUGUAAACUUCUAUCAGCAGGGAAGAAAAUGACGGUACCUGACUAAGAAGCCCCGGCUAACUACGUGCCAGCCGCCGCCGUAAUAC